rnacentral:lncRNA from 10 species
GUUAGAUUGGUGUUUAGAUAAGCAACCUUUCAGGAGGGAUGGCCAGUGAUGAGAGAGGUGGCAGAUUUGGAGCCCAAAAAAUCUCUCCUGUGGCAACAAUAAUAGUGAAACAACAGGACCUGCUUGCUGGGUGUCUUUGAUGUAAAACAGCCGGGGUAUUCCUGAAAGAAGCUGAAAACUAAGGUAAUUGUUGGAGAAAGAUGGCUUGGAAAUCUAUCAAUUCCCUGGUAAUCUGCAGGCCACUGUAGCAUAGAGUGUCUUCUUGGGAAUAACGAAAUGGCACCUGCUCCAAAUGGGCUGGAUCCUGUUGCCAGCAGCAACUCCAGGAGUAGGAGGAUUCUUCAUCAGCCAAGGACCAGCCCAGAGGGAGAACCAGUUAACUUAUCUGAAGUUUGGUUUCCCUGUGAGUACAAAGCAUGGAUAAUAUGACCGCUCCUGGGUAAAAAUAAGACUAUAAUUUCGUUUGUUUGUAUCUAUAAAAACAAAGCAAACAAAAUUAAAAAAAAAAAAAUCAACUGGGCACAGUGGCUCACGCCUGCAAUCCUAGCACUUUCAGAGGCCUAGGCGGGUGAAUCCCCUGAGGUCAGGAGUUCAAGACUAGCCUGACCCACAUGAAGAAACCCUGUCUCUACUAAAAAUACAAAAUUAGCCGGGCAUGGUGGCACAUGCCUAUAGUCCCAGCUUUUUGGGAGGCUGAGGCAGGAGAAUCACUUGAACCUGGGAGGCGGAGGUUGUGGUGAGCCAAGAUCAUGCCAUUGCACUCCAGCCUGGGCAACAAGAGCGAAACUCCGUCUCAAAAAAAAAAAAAAAAAUCAGAGGGAUAAAUGAGAGGCAAAUCAAAAUGUCUCCCAUUAAAGGUUAAGCAUAGGAAUGGGGUUAGACAGGGACUAAGACAGGAAAGAUACUUCUCAGUGUGUAGUCAUUUGUGUCAUUUUUAUUUAGGAGCCACUUUGGCAGUGCUCUUGUAAGGACGACACGGGGUGAUGCUUGCCCAGCAUCCCAGCAUCCCGCACACUCUGGGC